GGGGGGGGGGUGGUGUCUUACUGGGGCUGAGAGAGAGUAUAUAAAUGAGGUUUGUGCUUAUCGGGUUUGUAUGGUUGUUUUUCGUGUGUUCAUCACAGCGCCCUCUGAAAGACAGACAGUGAGCGUGCCAAGAGUGUAUCCCGACAGGCAGAAGGACCUGGCUCUUCUUCCCUCUCCUCCUACAGAUAUGGAUGAGUCGCAGGACCUGGCCGAGCUUCCGAAAAAGAAAGCUCGUCAUGAACCAGACAUUAGCCAGGAGGGACAACAGUAAGUAAACCUCACUGCUCAGUUUGUCAUUUUGUUGUUUUGUUAUGUUACGUUUAUCAGGUCUGCAUGUGUAGUCUGCGCCCUCUAAUACCCUGGAGUUAACAUACCUUUUUAGAUGGUUGUCUUUUGCUUCUUUAAAUGGAGUUCAAUAUCAGCUCAUCUUCAGCUUGUGUUUUACACAGUCAGAAGGCCCCUUUAAAUCGUUGAAAACCUCCUUGUAUGUUUUGAAUUCACUGUUAUUGAGAAGUACUGUUAUUCUUGACCUACAGUUGUUUAUUUUGAGAAGUCAUAAUUUUUUUUAAAUAAUAAUUCUGUGUCUGCCUAAUGUAGGGGUGUAACUAACAAAGACACGGACUCCGCAGAAAGAAAUGAUUCUGUUGCUCUAGGGUCAGAGGUCAGCUCUUACCCUCCUUCCUCGGUGCCUCAUCUCGACGCAGUUUCUGGGAGUAGUGAACAGUCAAGUCAAGAGACAGGAACUGGAAACCAAACAUGUGAUACUGACAACUCCUAUACCAACAAUGCUGUAACCUGCAAAGACCUUACUACAACUACAGGCACUGAAUAUACCUCACAGAUCUACCAAGGAAGCAACCCUGCAGUCACAGCCUACGCUAGCCAAGGGGCCUUCUCCCUCCCGCAGUCCUCCGUGUACAACACCUUCCCCCAGGGUGGACAGACCUACGGCCUUCCGCCUUUUGGAUCCUGUUUCACUACAUCCAGUGUGUAUACUAACAUCCCCUCUGCUAAUGUCACCGUGACAACCGCAGCCACAGCGCCAGGCAACACCCAGGAAUUCACCUCCUACAACUCCUUGAACCAGAACCAGUUUGCCCAGUACUACGUCCCUCCAUCCAGCUACCUGCCUGCCGGGCUGCCCAGCACUGACGGAGACGCUUCGGGUGUGGUGGCAGCCGCCUAUCCAGGUGUGAAGUGUGAAGAAGCCGUGCCUGCUGGCCUUCCCAGUACCACAGAUUCGUCCCCAGGUGUGGCUCUCCCCACUGGUGCUCGGGAGCAGGACGACUCGUCACGCAGGAACCCCCCUGGCAAAUCUAAAGGAAAGGCCAAGAAGGCUGACAACUCCCAGUCCAUAGACAACGACUUAGAGCGCAUCUUCAUAUGGGAUCUGGACGAGACCAUCAUCAUCUUUCACUCUCUGCUCACCGGCACCUUUGCACAGAAGUUUGGCAAGGACCCAGCCACUGUUCUUAAUCUGGGCCUUCAGAUGGAGGAGCUGAUCUUUGAGCUGGCAGACACCCACCUGUUCUUCAACGACCUCGAGGAGUGCGACCAGGUGCACGUUGAGGACGUGGCCUCUGACGACAAUGGCCAAGAUCUGAGGUAG
rnacentral:lncRNA from 1 species